GAAUAUCGUUGAUGGUUAGGUGCCUUUAAUUAUUUUAAUUAAAGGAGAAUAGGGAAUCAGGUGAAAAUCCUGAACGGGCCCGCCACUGUUAUUAGCUAGUUAGGCUUAAUACUCCACUUAGAUUAUAAUUAUCUAGGGAAGGGGAGUCUAGCGUUAUGUUAAAAGUCAGGAGACCUGCCUAGUCAUCGACCUACUA
rnacentral:ncRNA from 1 species